CAUCCUAACAGAUGGUCUAUGCAGGUAUAGAGGCUGGUUACAUCACACGUAACAAGUAAAAAAUAGAUUUUAAAAUGGGAAAAUAAUUUUUUACUUGUUAUGUGUUAUGUAGCCAGCUCUACACCUGCAUAGACCAUCUGUUAGGAUG